rnacentral:rRNA from 1 species
UACACUCCUCCGGGAGGCAGCAGUGGGGAAUAUUGGACAAUGGGCGCAAGCCUGAUCCAGCCAUGCCGCGUGAGUGAUGAAGGCCCUAGGGUUGUAAAGCUCUUUCACCGGUGAAGAUAAUGACGGUAACCGGAGAAGAAGCCCCGGCUAACUUCGUGCCAGCAGCCGCGGUAAUACGAAGGGGGCUAGCGUUGUUCGGAUUUACUGGGCGUAAAGCGCACGUAGGCGGACUAUUAAGUCAGGGGUGAAAUCCCGGGGCUCAACCCCGGAACUGCCUUUGAUACUGGUAGUCUUGAGUUCGAGAGAGGUGAGUGGAAUUCCGAGUGUAGAGGUGAAAUUCGUAGAUAUUCGGAGGAACACCAGUGGCGAAGGCGGCUCACUGGCUCGAUACUGACGCUGAGGUGCGAAAGCGUGGGGAGCAAACAGGAUUAGAAACCCGGGUAGUCCC